rnacentral:rRNA from 1 species
UGCGCAGGCGGCUCCUUAAGUCAGAUGUGAAAUCCCCGGGCUUAACCUGGGAACUGCGUUUGAAACUGGGGAGCUUGAGUGUGGAAGAGGGGGGUGGAAUUCCAGGUGUAGCAGUGAAAUGCGUAGAGAUCUGGAGGAACACCGAUGGCGAAGGCAGCCCCCUGGGCUAACACUGACGCUCAUGCACGAAAGCGUGGGGAGCAAACG